GCUUGGCCUGGGCCCCCAGUGGGGGGCGGCUGCUCUCAGCUUCACCCGUGGAUGCUGCUAUCCGGGUAUGGGAUGUCUCAACAGAGACCUGUGUCCCCCUUCCCUGGUUUCGAGGAGGUGGGGUGACCAACCUGCUCUGGUCCCCAGACGGCAGCAAAAUCCUGGCUACCACUCCUUCAGCUGUCUUUCGAGUCUGGGAGGCCCAGAUGUGGACUUGUGAGAGGUGGCCUACUCUAUCAGGGCGCUGUCAGACUGGCUGCUGGAGCCCAGAUGGCAGCCGACUGCUGUUCACUGUAUUGGGAGAGCCACUGAUUUACUCCCUGUCUUUUCCAGAACGUUGUGGUGAGGGAAAGGGGUGCGUUGGAGGUGCAAAGUCAGCAACGAUUGUGGCAGAUCUGUCUGAGACAACAAUACAGACACCAGAUGGUGAGGAGAGGCUUGGGGGAGAGGCUCACUCCAUGGUCUGGGACCCCAGUGGGGAACGUCUGGCUGUGCUUAUGAAAGGAAACCCAAGGGUACAGGAUGGUAAACCAGUCAUCCUCCUUUUUCGCACUCGAAACAGCCCUGUGUUUGAGCUCCUUCCCUGGUAAGUGCCAUGUGGGCCCUUAGGUCUGGACUUCUCACCAGCCUUCCUGCACAAACAAACCCACAUCCCACUACAUUCAGCUCCCUUCUCGCCUCCGGUUGCCUGCUCACCUUUUCUUCUAGUGGCAUUAUCCAGGGGGAGCCAGGAGCCCAGCCCCAGCUCAUCACUUUCCAUCCUUCCUUCAACAAAGGGGCCCUGCUCAGUGUGGUGAGUGCGCCAGGCUGCUGGGGCUUCCAGGAGUUGGAUGGAGAAGCUGAGGGCCUUGGCUGCUGUAUGGCUCUGCCAGGUGGCCCUUCUUUGGGCCCAGACUCUGA
rnacentral:sRNA from 1 species